rnacentral:rRNA from 1 species
GACGAACGCUGGCGGCGUGCUUAACACAUGCAAGUCGAACGGUAAGGCCUUCGGGUACACGAGUGGCGAACGGGUGAGUAACACGUGGGUGAUCUGCCCCCUACUCUGGGAUAAGCCUGGGAAACUGGGUCUAAUACCGGAUAUGACCUCCUUCUGCAUGGUUGGUGGUGGAAAGUUUUUUCGGUAGGGGAUGAGCCCGCGGCCCAUCAGCUUGUUGGUGGGGUAAUGGCCUACCAAGGCGACGACGGGUAGCCGGCCUGAGAGGGCGACCGGCCACACUGGGACUGAGACACGGCCCAGACUCCUCCGGGAGGCAGCAGUGGGGAAUAUUGCACAAUGGGCGAAAGCCUGAUGCAGCGACGCCGCGUGGGGGAUGACGGCCUUCGGGUUGUAAACCCCUUUCAGUCGGGACGAAGCGAGAGUGACGGUACCGAUAGAAGAAGCACCGGCCAACUACGUGCCAGCCGCCGCGGUAACAC